UGGCAGCCCGGCGUGCCGGGAGAUGGCAGCCCGGCUGGGAAGCUUUCUCUCGAGCAGGAAGCUGAGGCGUUUCCUCCCGCAGCGCCGCGCUCGCCGGGCGGGUUUUGCAAUGCGCGGUUUCGGUUCCCGGCCCGGGAGGCGCCGCCGGCCCCGCUCCGCUCCCGAGCUCCGGCACCCGCCGGGCUGCUGCCGCCAGCCCCGGGCUGCUGGGGCUCGCUCCAUGCUCGGCCUCGGCCCCGGGGCCGCCCAGGGGAGCGACUGCCGGAGGGGUGAAGGCUGGGGCUCGGCGGGGUGAACCUCACCCGGCCGGGGGGAGCCCCGCGCUCUGCUGGACAUGCAGAGCACCCCCAACUACCUGUGGAGCACCGAGGACCUGCUGGGCCAGGGGGCCACGGCCUCUGUCUACAGAGCUCGCAACAAGAAAUCGGGGGAGCUGGUUGCUGUGAAGGUGUUUAACAGUGCCAGCUACCUGCGGCCCCAGGAGGUGCAGAUGAGAGAGUUCGAGAUGCUGCGGAAGCUGAACCACAAAAACAUUGUCAAAUUAUUUGCCGUGGAGGAGACAGGCAGCAGCAAGCAGAAGGUGCUGGUGAUGGAAUACUGCUCCAGUGGCAGCCUGCUGAACGUGCUGGAAGACCCAGCCAAUGCCUUUGGCCUGGCUGAGUCCGAGUUCCUCAUCGUGCUGCAGUGUGUGGUGGCAGGGAUGAACCACCUCCGAGAGAACGGCGUCGUGCACAGGGACAUCAAACCCGGCAACAUCAUGAGGCUGGUGGGAGAGGACGGGCAGAGCAUCUACAAGCUGACGGAUUUCGGAGCCGCCCGAGAGCUGGAGGAUGAUGAGAAGUUUGUGUCUGUCUAUGGGACAGAGGAGUACCUCCACCCUGACGUGUACGAGCGAGCCGUGCUGCGCAAGCCGCAGCAGAAGGCCUUUGGUGUCACCGUGGACCUCUGGAGCAUUGGUGUCACCUUCUACCACGCUGCCACGGGCAGCCUGCCCUUCGUGCCCUUCGGGGGACCCCGCAGGAACAAGGAGAUCAUGUACAAAAUCACCACGGAGAAGCCUCGUGGGGCCAUUGCAGGGAUCCAGAGGCAGGAGAACGGGAACAUUGAGUGGAGCUACGAGCUGCCCAUCACCUGCCGCCUCUCCACGGGGCUGAAGGACCAGCUGAUCCCCAUCUUGGCGAACAUCCUGGAGGUGGACCAGGAGAAGUGCUGGGGAUUCGACCAGUUUUUCGCAGGAACCAACGACAUUUUGCACAGGAUCGUGGUGGACGUGUUCUCCCUGCAGCAGGCGUCCUCCCAUCGCAUCUACAUCCACUCCUACAACACUACCACCAAGUUUUUAGAUGCCGUCUUCAAACAGACCAAUAUAGUCCCUCACCAUCAAGAAUAUUAUUUUGAAGGACACCUGUAUGAGCUGGAUCCCAACCUACAAGCUCAUCAUUUCUGCAGAACCACAGAGAGCAGCCCCCUGACCUUGCUGAGCACCUCAGAGCAGCCCGAGGACGUGGUGGGGGUCCGGUACCGCGACCCGGCGCUGGAGUUCCCCAAGUUCGUGCCCAGGGUGGACGUGGUGGCCGACUGCAGUGCAGCCAAGAGUGCCGUGGGUGCUGCUCACCAGACGCUGCGCGUGGGGCAGGCGCUGCGGAGGGGCCGGGAGCUGCUGGCCAGGGGCCUCCACUGGGUGAUUGGGAACCUGAGGACAGAGUGCUGCAGGAUUUUGGAGCAGAGGAGGGGGGCUCACUCCGUGCUCACCUGCCUGCAGCUCACCCAGGGGAAGACACAUGUGCUGUUCGAGGCCGUUCCUGCAGGCAGCAGGGGCCCGGCUGGGGUGGAUGUGGUGAAGGCAAGGCUGCAGAGGGUGGAAGAGGAGCUCUCCCAGUGCUCCCACAGCAUCUUUGACUUCCAGGGGGCACUGGAUGGGAUUCUGGCCGAGCUGGUGAAGGACAGGCAGCAAGUGCACGAGGACAAAAGCAUCCAGCAGAUGGAGUGCUGCCUGGAGAAGAUGCAGGUGAUCCACAAGCAGUUCAAGAAGGCCAGGACGAGUCUGAGGCUGAGCUACAACGAGGAACAAAUCCACAAGCUGGAUAAGCUGAAUUUGGGGAACCUGGCCAGGAAGGUUCUGUCCAUUUUCCAGAACGACUGUGUCCAGCAGUACCAGGAGGCCCUGGCCCUGCACAGCAGCAGGAUGAGGAAAGUUUGUGAGAUCAAGAAGCAGCUGAAGAGGCUCAGCAACCGCAUCAGUGCCUGCAGCGUGGAGAUGAUGGAGUGCCAGGACUGCCUGCAGGGCGUGGGUGUCCGGGGCUGCAGCUCCUCCUGGCCUCCUCAGGGGAGCCCUGCAGGGUUUUUUCACCCCUUGCUGCAGGUUUUUGUGGGUGAUCCAGGCUGGAGGUGCUGCUUUGUCCCACUGUGUGAGCAGGGAGUGGGGAAACCUUUGGCAAAGGUGCCAAGGAUUGCCAGGCACAGGGGGGGUGUGUGCCCAAAAAAUGGGAAUUGCAGCAGGAGGAAAGUGCUGCUUCACCUCCAGCUGCCACAGCAACCCCCUGGCAGUGUGCUUGGGUUAUUUUAUUUUUUUAUUCCAUUUGUCCUGGAGCAGUGCUGGUGUGACCCCCUGGGUGCUGCUGAGUGUUUGGCCCCAGGUCAGCCCAUGGACAGCCCCUGCUGUGGGCACUGCCUGCACUCUCCAUCUCCAUCUCAUCUCCACAGGCUCUGGACAGGCUUCUCCAGGUGGAGCAAUGGAAUUUGGCCCCUCCUGUGCCUUCCCCCGUGCCCCUGAGCCAGGCCUGCCAGGAGAUGGCUCUGCGGAUGCAGGAGCUGCUGCAGCAGAUGAGGUCGGUCUCCUGCGAUCUGCAGCUCAACAACAGCAUCAUCGAGCGGUUGGGUGGGGCUGCUCCUGCUCCCAGCGUUUGAGGGACAUGGUGAGGGUGCAGCUGCUGAAGCAAAACUUCCCAGCAGAGGGGAUUCACAGCACCUGGAGCCACAGAGCUGCUGCAUUUCCGUGCCCUGGGAGCUCUCCGUGUCCUACCUCUGUGCCCCAGCACUUUGCACGUUCUCCCCCCUCAGCCCCGAGUGUCCUGAGCCUCUGGAAGUUUGGCCAGAAAACCGAGUGGGGUUUUAUAUUUUUCUUUAAAAAAAAAAUGCU